GCACGGCAAGAGGCAGUUAGUGAAGAGGCCGCUCUGCUGGAAGAGGCCUCCGGUGCAGAAAUGGCUGCUGGGCUCUGCUUUGUUCAUUUGAGCCCCGUUACCACCAGGAGCCCUUAUUGGGUGCCUUUUCUUCUCGGGGUCCACAGGACUCACUGAGGCCCCGCUUUUCUUCGAGGGCAGUGGACCCAGGACAGUGACCCUCUGGCCAGCUGGUUGGUGGUUAGGGGCCAUGUGAUGGUGUUCUGCUAAGGAGGCGUACGCAGCAGCAGCAUGAACUUCUGGGGAGGUGCUGACUCAGCCGUGCUUCAUCUGCUCGGCGGCCAUAACGAAGUGCCACUGUCCGUCGGCUUCAGCAGCACAAACCCUGCGCGCGGAUCCGUGGACCAGUCGCUCUCUGCGGGGCCUGGCCGCUCCGCGCCUGCUGCCCAGAGGCUCUCCGCGGCCCAGAGCCCAUCCGCAGCACGGGUGCGAAAUGCUUGCGUUCCGUGCCAGGCCUGGCCAGAGGCCCAUCCGCGGCUGGAAAAUGCAAACGACAUCCCUCCCUGCUCUCAGGAACACCAAUAAAGGGCUUCCUUCCCCUUU